rnacentral:rRNA from 1 species
AGGUAAGCUACUAAGAGCGAAUGGUGGAUGCCUUGACUGGUAAAGGCGAUGAAGGACGUACUAGACUGCGAUAAGCUACGGGGAGCUGUCAAGAAGCUUUGAUCCGUAGAUUUCCGAAUGGGGCAACCCAAUGUAUAGAGAUAUACAUUACCUAUAUAGGAGCGAACGAGGGGAAUUGAAACAUCUUAGUACCCUCAGGAAAAGAAAUCAAUAGAGAUUGCGUCAGUAGCGGCGAGCGAAAGCGCAAGAGGGCAAACCCAGUGCUUGCACUGGGGGUUGUAGGACUGCAAUAUGCAAGAGGUAAGUUUAGCAGAACAUUCUGGAAAGUAUAACCAUAGAGGGUGAUAGUCCCGUAUGCGAAAAACAAACCUUAGCUAGCAGUAUCCUGAGUAGGGCGGGACACGAGGAAUCCUGUCUGAAUCCGGGUCGACCACGAUCCAACCCUAAAUACUAAUACCAGAUCGAUAGUGCACAAGUACCGUGAGGGAAAGGUGAAAAGAACUGAGGUGAUCAGAGUGAAAUAGAACCUGAAACCAUUUGCUUACAAUCAUUCAGAGCCCUAUGUAGCAAUACAGGGUGAUGGACUGCCUUUUGCAUAAUGAGCCUGCGAGUUGUGGUGUCUGGCAAGGUUAAGCAAACGCGAAGCCGUAGCGAAAGCGAGUCUGAAUAGGGCGCUUAGUCAGAUGCUGCAGACCCGAAACGAAGUGAUCUAUCCAUGAGCAAGUUGAAGCUAGUGUAAGAACUAGUGGAGGACUGAACCCAUAGGCGUUGAAAAGCCCCGGGAUGACUUGUGGAUAGGGGUGAAAGGCCAAUCAAACUUCGUGAUAGCUGGUUCUCUCCGAAAUAUAUUUAGGUAUAGCGUUGUGUCGUAAUAUAAGGGGUAGAGCACUGAAUGGGCUAGGGCAUACACCAAUGUACCAAACCCUAUCAAACUCCGAAUACCUUAUAUGUAAUCACAGCAGUCAGGCGGCGAGUGAUAAAAUCCGUCGUCAAGAGGGAAACAACCCAGACUACCAGCUAAGGUCCCUAAGUCUUACUUAAGUGGAAAACGAUGUGAAGUUACUUAAACAACCAGGAGGUUGGCUUAGAAGCAGCCAUCCUUUAAAGAAAGCGUAAUAGCUCACUGGUCUAGUGAUUUUGCGCGGAAAAUAUAACGGGGCUAAAGUAAGUACCGAAGCUGUAGACUUAGUUUACUAAGUGGUAGGAGAGCGUUCUAUUUGCGUCGAAGGUAUACCGGUAAGGAGUGCUGGAGCGAAUAGAAGUGAGCAUGCAGGCAUGAGUAGCGAUAAUUAAUGUGAGAAUCAUUAACGCCGUAAACCCAAGGUUUCCUACGCGAUGCUCGUCAUCGUAGGGUUAGUCGGGUCCUAAGUCGAGUCCGAAAGGGGUAGACGAUGGCAAAUUGGUUAAUAUUCCAAUACCAACAUUAGUGUGCGAUGGAAGGACGCUUAGGGCUAAGGGGGCUAGCGGAUGGAAGUGCUAGUCUAAGGUCGUAGGAGGUUAUACAGGCAAAUCCGUAUAACAAUACUCCGAGAACUGAAAGGCUUUUUGAAGUCUUCGGAUGGAUAGAAGAACCCCUGAUGCCGUCGAGCCAAGAAAAGUUUCUAAGUUUAGCUAAUGUUGCCCGUACCGUAAACCGACACAGGUGGGUGGGAUGAGUAUUCUAAGGCGCGUGGAAGAACUCUCUUUAAGGAACUCUGCAAAAUAGCACCGUAUCUUCGGUAUAAGGUGUGGUUAGCUUUGUAUUAGGAUUUACUCUGAAAGCAAGGAAACUUACAACAAAGAGUCCCUCCCGACUGUUUACCAAAAACACAGCACUCUGCUAACUCGUAAGAGGAUGUAUAGGGUGUGACGCCUGCCCGGUGCUCGAAGGUUAAUUGAUGGGGUUAGCAUUAGCGAAGCUCUUGAUCGAAGCCCGAGUAAACGGCGGCCGUAACUAUAACGGUCCUAAGGUAGCGAAAUUCCUUGUCGGUUAAAUACCGACCUGCAUGAAUGGCGUAACGAGAUGGGAGCUGUCUCAAAGAGGGAUCCAGUGAAAUUGUAGUGGAGGUGAAAAUUCCUCCUACCCGCGGCAAGACGGAAAGACCCCGUGGACCUUUACUACAGCUUGACACUGCUACUUGGAUAAGAAUGUGCAGGAUAGGUGGGAGGCUUUGAGUAUAUGACGCCAGUUGUAUAUGAGCCAUUGUUGAGAUACCACUCUUUCUUAUUUGGGUAGCUAACCAGCUUGAGUUAUCCUCAAGUGGGACAAUGUCUGGUGGGUAGUUUGACUGGGGCGGUCGCCUCCCAAAUAAUAACGGAGGCUUACAAAGGUUGGCUCAGAACGGUUGGAAAUCGUUCGUAGAGUAUAAAGGUAUAAGCCAGCUUAACUGCAAGACAUACAAGUCAAGCAGAGACGAAAGUCGGUCUUAGUGAUCCGGUGGUUCUGUGUGGAAGGGCCAUCGCUCAAAGGAUAAAAGGUACCCCGGGGAUAACAGGCUGAUCUCCCCCAAGAGCUCACAUCGACGGGGAGGUUUGGCACCUCGAUGUCGGCUCAUCGCAUCCUGGGGCUGGAGCAGGUCCCAAGGGUAUGGCUGUUCGCCAUUUAAAGCGGUACGCGAGCUGGGUUCAGAACGUCGUGAGACAGUUCGGUCCCUAUCUGCCGUGGGCGUAAGAAGAUUGAAGAGAUUUGACCCUAGUACGAGAGGACCGGGUUGAACAAACCACUGGUGUAGCUGUUGUUCUGCCAAGAGCAUCGCAGCGUAGCUAAGUUUGGAAAGGAUAAACGCUGAAAGCAUCUAAGCGUGAAGCCAACUCUAAGAUGAAUCUUCUCUAAGCUCUCUAGAAGACUACUAGUUUGAUAGGCUGGGUGUGUAAUGGAUGAAAGUCCUUUAGCUGACCAGUACUAAUAGAGCGUUUGGCUUAUCUUU